rnacentral:tRNA from 1 species
GUAAACAUAAUUUAACUAAAAAUCCUAGUCUGUGAUCCUAGAAAUGGGAACUAAUUAUUCCCUGUUUACC